rnacentral:rRNA from 1 species
UACGGGGGGGGCAAGCGUUGUUCGGAAUUACUGGGCGUAAAGGGCUCGUAGGUGGCCAACUAAGUCAGACGUGAAAUCCCCAGGCUCAACUUGGGAACUGCGUCUGAUACUGGAUGGCUUGAAUUCGGGAGAGGGAUGCAGAAUUCCAGGUGUAGCGGUGAAAUGCGCAGAUAUCAGGAGGAACACCAAUGGCGAAGGCAGCUCGCUGGGACGGUACUGACGCUGAGGCGCGAAAGCGUGGGGAGCAAACAGG